AAUUCGAUUGAGUUUGAUCAUGGCUCAGGAUGAACGCUGGCGGUAUGCUUAACACAUGCAAGUCGAACGAAGCCUUUCGGGGCUUAGUGGCGGACGGGUGAGUAACGCGUGAGAAUCUGCCAUCAGGUCUGGGACAACCACUGGAAACGGUGGCUAAUACUGGAUGUGCCCUUCGGGGUGAAAGGUUAACUGCCUGUUGAUGAGCUCGCGUCUGAUUAGCUAGUAGGUGUGGUAAAGGCGCACCUAGGCGACGAUCAGUAGCUGGUCUGAGAGGACGAUCAGCCACACUGGGACUGAGACACGGCCCAGACUCCUACGGGAGGCAGCAGUGGGGAAUUUUCCGCAAUGGGCGAAAGCCUGACGGAGCAAUACCGCGUGAGGGAGGAAGGCUCUUGGGUCGUAAACCUCUUUUCUCAGGGAAGAACACAAUGACGGUACCUGAGGAAUAAGCAUCGGCUAACUCCGUGCCAGCAGCCGCGGUAAUACGGAGGAUGCAAGCGUUAUCCGGAAUGAUUGGGCGUAAAGCGUCCGCAGGUGGCGGUGUAAGUCUGCUGUUAAAGAGUCUAGCUCAACUAGAUAAGAGCAGUGGAAACUACAUAGCUAGAGUACGUUCGGGGCAGAGGGAAUUCCUGGUGUAGCGGUGAAAUGCGUAGAGAUCAGGAAGAACACCAGUGGCGAAGGCGCUCUGCUAGGCCGUAACUGACACUGAGGGACGAAAGCUAGGGGAGCGAAUGGGAUUAGAUACCCCAGUAGUCCUAGCCGUAAACGAUGGAUACUAGGCGUGGCUU
rnacentral:rRNA from 1 species